UACAGAGGGGGCAAGCGUUAUUCGGAAUUAUUGGGCGUAAAGGGCGCGUAGGCGGCCUGGCACGUGGAAGGUGAAAUCCCUCGGCUUAACCGGGGAACUGCAUCUGAUACUGGAUGGCUUGAGUUCGGGAGAGGGAUGCGGAAUUCCAGGUGUAGCGGUGAAAUGCGUAGAUAUCUGGAGGAACACCGGUGGCGAAGACGGUCCCCUGGGCCGAGGCCGACGCUGAGGCGCGAGAGCGCGGGGAGCGAACCGG
rnacentral:rRNA from 1 species